rnacentral:rRNA from 1 species
AUGAGCCUAUGUUAGAUUAGCUAGUUGGUAGGGUAAAGGCCUACCAAGGCGAUGAUCUAUAGCUGGUCUGAGAGGAUGAUCAGCCACACUGGAACUGAGAUACGGUCCAGACUCCUACGGGAGGCAGCAGUGGGGAAUAUUGGACAAUGGGCGCAAGCCUGAUCCAGCUAUGCCGCGUGAGUGAGGAAGGCCCUAGGGUUGUAAAACUCUUUCAGUAGGGAAGAUAAUGACGGUAC